GACAGAGGGUGCAAACGUUGUUCGGAAUUACUGGGCGUAAAGCGCGUGUAGGCUGCUCGGAAAGUCGGAUGUGAAAGCCCUGGGCUCAACCUAGGAAGUGCAUUCGAAACUUCCGAGCUGGAGUGCUGGAGAGGAAGGCGGAAUUCUCGGUGUAGAGGUGAAAUUCGUAGAUAUCGAGAGGAACACCGGUGGCGAAGGCGGCGUUCUGGACUGCAGCUGACACUGAUGAACGAAAGCCAGGGGAGCAAACGGG
rnacentral:rRNA from 1 species